rnacentral:rRNA from 1 species
AUUGAACGCUGGCGGCAUGCUUUACACAUGCAAGUCGAACGGUAACAGGCCGCAAGGUGCUGACGAGUGGCGAACGGGUGAGUAAUGCAUCGGAACGUGCCCAGUCGGGGGGGAUAACGCAGCGAAACUUGCGCUAAUCCCGCAUACGAGUGAUGGAUGAAAGCGGGGGACCGUAAGGCCUCGCGCGAUUGGAGCGGCCGGUGUCAGAUUAGGUAGUUGGUGGGGUAAAGGCUCACCAAGCCGACUAUCAGUAGCUGGUCUGAGAGGACGACCAGCCUCACUGGGACGGAGACCCGGCCCAGACGCCUCCGGGAGUCAGCGGUGGGGAAUUUUGGACAAUGGGCGCACCCCUGAUCCAGCAAUGCCCCGUGCAGGAAGAAGGCCUUCGGGUUGUCAACUGCUUUUGUACGGAACGAAACGGUCCUGGUUAAUACCCGGGGCUAAUGACGGUACCGUAAGAAUAAGCACCGGCUAACUACGUGCCAGCCGCCGCGGUAA